UACAGAGGGUGCAAGCGUUAAUCGGAAUUACUGGGCGUAAAGCGCAUGUAGGUGGUUGAUUAAGUUUGAUGUGAAAGCCCUGGGCUUAACCUGGGAAUGGCGUUGAAUACUGAUUAACUUGAGUCGGACAGAGGGCUGUGGAAUUUCCGGUGUAGCGGUGAAAUGCGUAGAGAUCGGAAAGAACACCAGUGGCGAAGGCGGCCCCCUGGGCCGGCCCUGACACUGAGACGCGAAGGCGUGGGGGAGCGAACGGG
rnacentral:rRNA from 1 species